UGGGGAAUUUUGCACAAUGGGGGAAACCCUGAUGCAGCGACGCCGCGUGAUUUAGAAGGCCUUCGGGUUGUAAAAAUCUUUUGUAUGGGAAGAAAAUGACAGUACCAUACGAAUAAGGACCGGCUAAUUCCGUGCCAGCAGCCGCGGUAAUACGGAAGGUCCGGGCGUUAUCCGGAUUUAUUGGGUUUAAAGGGAGUGUAGGCGGCCUGUUAAGCGUGUUGUGAAAUGUAGAUGCUCAACAUCUGAACUGCAGCGCGAACUGGCUGGCUUGAGUACACGCAACGUGGGCGGAAUUCAUGGUGUAGCGGUGAAAUGCUUAGAUAUCAUGAGGAACUCCUAUUGCGAAGGCAGCUCACGGGAGUGUCACUGACGCUUAAGCUCGAAGGUGCGGGUAUCAAACAGG
rnacentral:rRNA from 1 species